UGCAGUCGAGCGAAGCUUCAGAUAGCUUGCUAUUUGAAUGACUGAGCGGCGAACGGGUGAGUAACGCGUGAACAAUCUACCUUAAAUAUUAGAAUAGCUCAAGGAAACUUGAAUUAAUACUGAAUAAUCUUUCAAAUUCACAUGAAUUCUAAAGCAAAGGUCAGCCGAUUUAAGAUGAGUUCGCGUUCUAUCAGCUUGUUGGUAAGGUAAUGGCUUACCAAGGCAAUGACGGAUAGCUGGUCUGAGAGGACGAUCAGCCACACUGGGACUGAGACACGGCCCAGACUCCUACGGGAGGCUGCAGCAGGGAAUCUUGCGCAAUGAGCGAAAGCUUGACGCAGCGACACCGCGUGUGGGAUGACGGAUCUAGGUUUGUAAACCACUUUCAGGAGGGAAGAAAUUGACGGUACCUCCACAAGAAGCCCCGGCCAACUACGUGCCAGCAGCCGCGGUAAUACGUAGGGGGCGAGCAUUGUCCGGAUUUAUUGGGCGUAAAGAGCUCGUAGGCGGUUCAGUAAGUCGGGUGUGAAAACUUGAGGCUCAACCUCAAGAGGCCACUCGAUACUGCUGUGACUUGAGUCCGGUAGAGGAGUGUGGAAUUCCUGGUGUAGCGGUGAAAUGCGCAGAUAUCAGGAGGAACACCGACAGCGAAGGCAGCACUCUGGGCCGGUACUGACGCUGAGGAGCGAAAGCGUGGGGAGCGAACAGGAUUA
rnacentral:rRNA from 1 species